rnacentral:rRNA from 1 species
UACGUAGGUGGCAAGCGUUGUCCGGAAUUAUUGGGCGUAAAGCGCGCGCAGGCGGCCUUUUAAGUCUGAUGUGAAAGCCCACGGCUCAACCGUGGAAGGUCAUUGGAAACUGAAAGGCUUGAGUACAGAAGAGGAAAGCGGAAUUCCACGUGUAGCGGUGAAAUGCGUAGAGAUCAUGAGGAAGACCAGUGGCGAAGGCGGGUCUCUGGACAGUUCCUGACACUGAGACACGAAGGCCAGGGGAGCAAACGGG